UGUGGUGCAAAGUGGGCAGCUCAAAUGGCAAGACGAACUCAACCAGCACAACAGGGUCUUCUUUGAUUCCUGUGACGGCUUCUUCACUAACUAUAACUGGCGGGAGGAGCACUUGGAGCGGAUGCUGGGGCAGGCUGGGGAGCGCCGGGCUGAUGUGUACGUGGGCGUGGAUGUGUUUGCUCGGGGGAACGUGGUCGGAGGCCGAUUCGACACAGACAAGGUGGGUGGUGGCUUUCGUCCAAGGGCCAGCGGCCCAGUGCCUCCCCUGGGACCUCAUUUCCUCAUGGACCUUCCAUUCCCAUCUGCACCUCAAAGGAAUGAUAGCAGCUGUUCUUCCCAGAGUGGGGAUCCCGUGGCACUGAGAAACAGGUGUCCUGCCCCGGCCAAGCUAUGUCCCCCCUGAAACCCCUUUCCCGGCUAUUUCUACAAUCAGAUAAUGUAUUUUUGUGUGGGUGUUACCAGACAGAGGCG
rnacentral:sRNA from 1 species